rnacentral:rRNA from 1 species
AUUGAACGCUGGCGGCAGGCCUAACACAUGCAAGUCGCGCGAGUGGCGGACGGGUGAGUAAUGUCUGGGAAACUGCCUGAUGGAGGGGGAUAACUACUGGAAACGGUAGCUAAUACCGCAUACCAUCGGAUGUGCCCAGAUGGGAUUAGCUAGUAGGUGGGGUAAAGGCUCACCUAGGCGACGAUCCCUAGCUGGUCUGAGAGGAUGACCAGCCACACUGGAACUGAGAAACGGUCAAGACUCCGACGGGAGUCAGCAGUGGGGAAUAUUGCACAAUGGGCGCAAGCCUGAUGCAGCCAUGCCGCGUGUAUGAAGAAGGCCUUCGGGUUGUAAAGUACUUUCAUCGUGGAGUCGUUACCCGCAGAAGAAGCACCGGCUAACUCCGUGCCAGCAGCCGCGGUAAUAC